GACGAGCGCUAGCGGCAGGCUUAAUACAUGCAAGUCGAGGGGCAGCACAGGUAGCAAUACUGGGUGGCGACCGGCAAACGGGUGCGGAACACGUACACAACUUACCUUAAGGUGGGGGAUAGCCCAGGGAAACUUGGAUUAAUACCCCAUAAUACAGGGGGCCCGCAUGGGUCUAUUGUUAAAGAUUUAUUGCCUUAAGAUGGGUGUGCGUCUGAUUAGGUAGUUGGUGAGGUAAAGGCUCACCAAGCCAACGAUCAGUAACUGGUGUGAGAGCACGACCAGUCACACGGGCACUGAGACACGGGCCCGACUCCUACGGGAGGCAGCAGUAAGGAAUAUCGGUCAAUGGACGGAAGUCUGAACCAGCCAUGCCGCGUGAAGGAUGAAGGUCCUCUGGAUUGUAAACUUCUUUUAUAGGGGGCGAAAAAGGGCCUUUUGAGGUCAACUGACGGUACCCUAUGAAUAAGCACCGGCUAACUCCGUGCCAGCAGCCGCAGUAAAAC
rnacentral:rRNA from 1 species